AUCACAUUAUAAGCAUUUCUGGUUUUCAUACCUCAAGUUCCACUUUAUUGAAUGGCUCCAAAAUCUUGUGGUGAAUAUUGAUUCAGAGAAAGCGAAUGGGAGUGAAGUUGUUUAAUGUGAUGAUAAGGUCUUACCAAACACCGAUUCACAGCAGUGCUGAUGUAUUCCCUCUUUACCCUUAGUUGCUCUCUCCCUCUCUGAUUAUUUAGAGAUCAGAGGAAAAACAGUUUCAAGGAAAGAGAAAACCAGUAGCUCUUAAAGGGAAGAAGAGAAAGAAGAAGAAGGAAAAUGGCUGCAGCCAAGAGGAAGAGAACUGAGCCUUCAGAGCACAUACUGAUUGACUACUUACUUCUUAGGAAUGUAGUCUUUGGUAGAGAAACUCCAUACAACCCAAAACUUGUGAUUGUGAAACAAGAAGAUGGAGCUUCGACUCUAGGCUCCUCCCUUGGGCCCAAUAUCUCUAUUCGUUCUUGCUUUGCGUUACUUGUGCACGUAUGGACCUGACAAUCACUGCAAGGGUUUCAUUAAGUGGGUACACAGGACUGAAGAAGUGCAGGUGUGAGGGUGGGAGAUAUGAAGUAUAUGGUAACUCGUCUGGAUGAUCACAUAACUGAUUUGGAAGAUUUGAUCACUAAACUCAAAUCAUAUGAAUUCAAGGUUCAAUGACAAUUCCGAUGAGCACUACCGUGAUGAUCCUUAUGAACUGCAUGAUUUAUAUCAUCCUAAGUUCAAGAUGAAUUCUCUGGCAGGACUUGAGUCGAUUAAGAAAUUCCUACCGAUCAAAAAUCUCCAAGGUCAAAGCUUCAAAAAAUUGAAGAUAAGGUGGGUACAAGUCUCCAGGUUGCAAAAGGCCUUCAGACGACUCUGGAAGGUAUUAAAGAGGAAAUUAGGGAGGUGAAGAACUCUCUUUAUGAGACUUAGUAUUCUAUCUAAUUUACUGGGAUAGUUGUUUUGAGGUUGGGAGAAUUCAAUUGUUGGACUUCGUGCUUAAGUGUUUAAGAUUUUAUGCAUAAUCUGAGAGGGAGAUAAGACACCGAGCUUGGACCUCAUGAUGCAUAAUUUUGUCGUAGAUAUCAACUUUGUGUGGGUGGCAGCUCGUUUAUAUUUAGCAGAACUGCAUAUAUACCAGACAAUAAGCUUCUUA